GACGAACGCUGGCGGCGUGCUUAACACAUGCCAGUCGAACGGAAAGGCCUUUUCGGAGGUACUCGAGUGGCGAACGGGUGAGUAACACGUGGGUGAUCUGCCCUGCACUCUGGGAUAAGCCUGGGAAACUGGGUCUAAUACCGGAUAGGACCGCACUUUAGUGUGUGUGGUGGAAAGUUUUUUCGGUGUAGGAUGAGCCCGCGGCCUAUCAGCUUGUUGGUGGGGUAAUGGCCUACCAAGGCGGCGACGGGUAGCCGGACUGAGAGGUUGGUCGGCCACAUUGGGACUGAGAGACGGCCCAGACUCCUACGGGAGGCAGCAGGGGGGAAGAUUGCACAAGGGGCGCAAGCCUGAUGCAGCGACGCCGCGUGGGGGAGGACGGCCUUCGGGUUGUAAACUCCUUUCGCCAGGGACGAAGCGUUUUGUGACGGUACCUGGAGAAGAAGCACCGGCUAACUACGUG
rnacentral:rRNA from 1 species